CUGCCUCAGCCUCUCAAAGUGCUGGGAUUACACGUGUGAGCGACUGCGCCCAGCCUAUGUAUCUUCUUUUUAAAAACACAGAUGUCGGCAUAAGAUAAAUACUGUUCUCCACCAGUUCCUCACUGGUAAAUAUUUAGGUUGUUCCCAACCGUUUGGAUUAAUCAGUGCUGAGUUGUACGUAAUUCUUGCAUAUUUGCGUGAAUAUCUUCAUAGGAUGCAUUGCUAGAAAUGGAAUUGUGGGAUCCAGGGUUCUGCACAUUUUAAAUGUUGAUGGGUGUUGCUCGAUUCCCUUCCGUUAGGGCCAUACCGUUAUCUCACUGUCAAUGUGUAAGGGCGCCUAUUUCUAUUUCCUUGCCAACGGUUUCUUCUGAGCUAUUUUGUUUGACAUCACACACACACACAAAUAGACCGCUUGUUCCAAAAACAUGGGCGUUUUACAUUUCUACUUAAAGUGUGUGCACACUGACUGAAGUUCUCUGUUGCAGUGAUAUGUGCUGCUAGGAUUGUGGCUCUGUUUCGAAUUUGCUAGCCAGGCUACGGCUUUCCAGUCAGGUAUUUUUUGUUUGGUUCAUGUUGUUGCUGCCGUUGGGCUGGAGUAACCUGUGUGAAUUUCCCUCUACUGCCCAACCAGAUUUCCUUUCCAGUGGACGGGCUUAGUGUCUCAUCCGGCUGCCCUGUUUCCUGGUGAUCUGGGCCGAGUGUCUCAUCCGGCAGCCCUGUUUCCUGGUGACCUGGGCCGAGUGUCUCAUCUGGCAACCCUGUUUCCUGGUGAUCUGGGCCGAGUGUCUCAUCCGGCAGCCCUGUAUCCUAGUGAUCUGGGCUGAGUGGCUCCAUGAGAAGUUGCACCCAUAUUCUCCAGUAGUGCAUCUUUUUACAGCAAGCAAAACAUUUUCACCACGUUUCUAGCGGGACAGGCACUAGCUCUUUUCUGGGCAUCAGGAGACCUGGCUUUGUUCUGGUUCAAGCAACAGCUGAUCUUUUCCAGUGUACCUACAAAGAUACAUGUACACAUUGUAAAAAACAAAAUAGUACCUGAUACACAUUGAGUUCCCCUACUCCCAAUCCGCAGUCUACAUGGACAUCCUUUCACGGUGAUACGAUGAGACCUGAUGGACUCCUUUUGUUCGCUGGAGUGGCAGGAAGUCUAGUGCGAUGGACAGACACGCGCCAAUGGCUGCCAUGGAAUAUGGUGAGUAUUAAGAUAAAGGGGCACCCUUUGGAGCAUAGAGCAGGGCUUGUGUUCUGGGAACAUGGGCUCCAUGUGAAAACACAAUUUAAAUUAGUUUUCUUUUUCCCUUUUUUUUUUUUUUUUUGAGACAGAGUC